rnacentral:rRNA from 1 species
UACAGAGGGUGCAAGCGUUGUUCGGAAUUAUUGGGCGUAAAGGGUGCGUAGGCGGUUUGGUAAGUCUUGUGUGAAAUCUACAGGCUCAACUUGUAGUCUGCACGAGAAACUGCCGGGCUUGAGUGUGGGAGAGGUGAGUGGAAUUCCUGGUGUAGCGGUGAAAUGCGUAGAUAUCAGGAGGAACACCUGUGGCGAAAGCGGCUCACUGGACCAUAACUGACGCUGAUGCACGAAAGCUAGGGGAGCAAACAGG